AAGUGUCUAAGGGCGCAUGGUGGAUGCCUUGGCAUCGAGAGCCGAUGAAGGACGUGGGAGGCUGCGAUAAGCCUCG
rnacentral:rRNA from 1 species